rnacentral:rRNA from 1 species
CUACGGGGGGCACCAGUGAGGAAUAUUGCACAAUGGGGGGAACCCUGAUGCAGCAACGCCGCGUGGAGGAUGACGCAUUUCGGUGUGUAAACUCCUUUUAUAUGUCAAGAAAAUGACGGUAGCAUACGAAUAAGCACCGGCUAACUCCGUGCCAGCAGCCGCGGUAAUACGGGAGGGUGCAAGCGUUACUCGGAAUCACUGGGCGUAAAGGACGCGUAGGCGGGUUGGAAAGUCAGGUGUGAAAUCCUACAGCUUAACUGUAGAACUGCACUUGAAACUUCUAAUCUAGAGUAUGGGAGGGGGAGAUGGAAUUAGUGGUGUAGGGGUAAAAUCCGUAGAUAUCACUAGGAAUACCUAAAGCGAAGGCGAUCUCCUGGAACAUUACUGACGCUAAGGCGUGAAAGCGUGGGGAGCAAACAGGAUUAGAUACCCUUGUAGUC